GUUGUUGUGGCCGAGUGGUUAAGGCGAUGGACUUGAAAUCCAUCGGGGUUUCACCUCGCAGGCUAGAGUCCUGUCAACAACG